UACGGAGGGUGCGAGCGUUGUCCGGAAUCAUUGGGCGUAAAGGGCGCGUAGGUGGCUUCUUAAGCGUGCGGUGAAAGCCUGGGGCUCAACCCCGGGUCGGCCGUGCGAACUGGGGGGCUGGAGCACUGUAGAGGCAGGCGGAAUUCCGGGUGUAGCGGUGGAAUGCGUAGAGAUCCGGAAGAACACCGGUGGCGAAGGCGGCCUGCUGGGCAGUAGCUGACACUGAGGCGCGACAGCGUGGGGAGCAAACAGG
rnacentral:rRNA from 1 species